rnacentral:misc_RNA from 1 species
AAAUGCGAUAAGUAAUGUGAAUUGCAGAAUUCAGUGAAUCAUCGAAUCUUUGAACGCACCUUGCGCUCCUUGGUAUUCCUUGGAGCAUGUCUGUUUGAGUAUCAUGAAAUCUUCAAAGUAAAUCUUUUGUUAACUCAAUUGGUUUCUACUUUGGUAUUGGAGGUCUUUGCAGCUUCACACCUGCUCCUCUUUGUUCAUUAGCUGGAUCUCAGUGUUAUGCUUGGUUCCACUCGGCGUGAUAAGUUAUCUAUCGCUGAGGACACUGUAAAAGGUGGCCAAGGUAAAUGCAGAUGAACCGCUUCUAAUAGUCCAUUGACUUGGACAAUACUUUUAUGAUCUGAUCUCAAAUCAGGUAGGACUACCCGCUGAACUUAAGCA